rnacentral:rRNA from 1 species
AAUAUUUGAAAAUGGGUGCAACCCUGAUCCAGCCAUGCCGCGUGUGUGAAGAAGGNCUNNGGUUUNUNAAGCACUUUAAGUAGNNNNNAAGGGCUUUAGGUUAAUACCCUGAAAUUUUGUCGUUACCAACAGAUUAAGCACAGGCUAACUCUGAGCCAGCAGCCGCGGUAAUACAGAGGGUGCAAGCGUUAAUCGGAAUUACUGGGCGUAAAGCGCGCGUAGGUGGUUCAGUAAGAUGGGUGUGAAAUCCCCGGGCUUAACCUGGGAACUGCUUUCAUAACUGCUGAGCUAGAGUACGGUAGAGGGUAGUGGAAUUUCCUGUGUAGCGGUGAAAUGCGUAGAUAUAGGAAGGAACACCAGUGGCGAAGGCGACUACCUGGACUGAUACUGACACUGAGGUGCGAAAGCGUGGGGAGCAAACA